GCAAGAAUUGUAGUACAGUUGCGUAAAGGGAAACACAUUCAGAGGGGAACGAAAUCGGCUGCUUCACCUAAAGUGUCGCUGCGAGAUGCUGAUGCCGCAAUUUGCGCCAGCCCUCUCUCGUAAAAUGGCUUUAUGAUCGUUAACGUAAUUAUCAACCAGAGAAAAUAGUGUCGUGGAUUAUGGCAAAGGUAUUCAUCUAAUAUUAGUAACGUUAACUGGGUUUCUUCAUAUUUUUCUUCCCUGCUGUGUGUGUAAAUGUGUGUGUGUGUGUGUGAUACCGAGCAGCUGUUGUCUGAACUUAAAAAAAAAAUGACAAAUCGAUAAAGCCUUGUGCUACAGCUACAGCUACAGCCACUGACGUUUAAGGAAGUGUGAGGCUAAGCACCCCUAGCUUGCUUGAUUGUUAAAGGUAAUGUUGUCCUUCUCAUUUUUAUUGUAUUUUCAAGUGUCCAGUCGUCAACAAAUUUGUUGUGAGCAGUUUAAUGUAGGAACUGUUUUCUUUCUACAGAUAGUUUCUAACUUACACGAAACUGCUCAGAGUAAGGUAAAUGGUAAAUGUAUUAUCUUAACUGGGUCAUGAUUACUGGAAAAAGACAUUACUGUAGAGUGAGAAUGUUUCUGACUAUGAUACUAAUGAUGUAUUCAUUUCAUUUAAAGGAUCUAAAUGUAAACUAAAAGAUUGCCUCACUGCCUGAAGUCAACAUAAAUGAUUCAAACCUGCUAUUACUUCUGAACUGAAUCAUUUGAUCUUGAAAAAAGUUUUAAAAGCCCUAUAUUUGCAACUACUACUACUACUACUUGGUUUUAAAAUAAAUAAUUAUCUAUUAUGAAAAUGACAGAUUUGUAGUAUCGAAACUGUUACGUGAUUAGUUAUGUCAAAUAUUAUUUUAGUGUAUUAUUUUAAUUAUGAACACACUGGUUUGUAGUGCAAACAGUUUUACCAUUCACUUGUUUUUCUUUGUUAUCUUCCUACAGCUGCUAAUGAACCAGACAUCUCGCACAUUCACAGAAAAUGGCUUACGUCCGCAUUGAAAAAUAAGGUGACAACACUGAAGAUGAGGGCAUGGAUGUUGUCACUGGAGGGUCAAUUUGAAGCUAAACAAGGAAUGUUUGGAUGUGACGGGAUUUUGUGAGCUGCGCAGGACUACAGCAGCCAAGUGGUGACGACCCCCAUUCUCCCCCUCAAAUAAGUGGUGUGUUGCAGAUUAAACUUUUGUGUCUGUGCUGGUGACCAAAGAGGAAGCUGUUUUUAAAAGGAUGCUCCAUCCUCUGCAAACAGUACAUAUAAAAUGAGGUACACUGUUGUGUUCAAAUGCUGUGCCUGAAUAAAUCACACACCUCUACUUUUGACUCCAUGUCUGUGAUGGAAAUGUUUUUAAGCUGCUGUUAUUUAAAUGGUUAGGGUUAAUAUCACCUUGUUCUCUCACCUUUUUGCUCUGUACUGCAACAGAAGUGACCCACUGAAGGUGGUGACAGGAACUGG